GUGAAUCAUCGAAUCUUUGAACGCACAUUGCACCCGGUGGCAUUCCGCCGGGUAUGCCUGUUCGAGCGUCAUUAUAACCACUCAAGCCUGUCUUGGUGUUGGGGAUUGCGAAUCUCGCAGCCCUAGAGUCCAGUAGCGUCACCUGUGGGUCCUAAGCGUAGUAAUUUCUCCUCGCUACAGAGCCUGCUCGUGGAUAGUGUAAAUCCAGUUCGGUCUGGUAUCCCGCUAUUAAACCCCCAAUUUUCAAAGGUUGACCUCGGAUCAAGUAGGGAUACCCGCUGAACUUAAGCAUAUCAAUAAGCGGAGGA
rnacentral:misc_RNA from 1 species